GUUAUAUGGUCAAGUGAAGAAGCGCAUACGGUGGAUGCCUUGGCAGUCAGAGGCGAUGAAAGACGUGGUAGCCUGCGAAAAGCUUCGGGGAGUCGGCAAACAGACUUUGAUCCGGAGAUGUCUGAAUGGGGGAACCCAGCC
rnacentral:rRNA from 1 species